rnacentral:rRNA from 1 species
GAUAGGUAAUGUGAAUUGCAGAAUUCCGUGAAUCAUCGAAUCUUUGAACGCACCUUGCGCUCCAUGGCAUUCCGUGGAGCAUGCCUGUUUGAGUGCCGCGAAAUCUCCCACCCCUAGCGGUUGCCGCAAGGCGCCGCCGGGCGGCGGGGUUGGUUGGGUGCCGCUGCCUGGGCUUUGGCCCAGGCUCGCCCGAAAUGCAUGAGCGCUUAGCACUCGCACCGUCUCGAGGGAAGGCGGCGGAGCUGGCAUCUGCGCAUGGCAUGAUACGUCAUUUGCUGUGUGGCAGCCCAGCGACCCGAGAGUGUGUGUGCGCUACUACACGCCCUUUCAUUUCUGGUCUCAAAUCAGGUAGGAUCACCCGCUGAACUUAAGCAUAUCAAUAAGCGGAGGAAA